UACGUAGGGUGCGAGCGUUAAUCGGAAUUACUGGGCGUAAAGGGUGCGCAGGCGGCACCGCAAGUCGAGUGUGAAAGCCCCGGGCUUAACUUGGGAAUUGCGAUCGAAACUAUGGUGCUGGAGUGUGGCAGAGGAAGGUGGAAUUCCACGUGUAGCGGUGAAAUGCGUAGAGAUCCGGAAGAACACCGGUGGCGAAGGCGGUUGGCUGGGCCAUAGCUGACACUGAGGCGCGACAGCGUGGGGAGCAAACAGG
rnacentral:rRNA from 1 species